rnacentral:rRNA from 1 species
UUUCCGGUUGAUCCCGCCGGACCUGACUGCUAUCGGAUUGAUACUAAGCCAUGCGAGUCUUUGCAGUAAUGCAAGGCAUACGGCUCAGUAACACGUAGUCAACUUACCCUAUGGACGAGGAUAAUCUCGGGAAACUGAGCAUAAUACUCGAUAGAUCAUAAUGCCUGGAAUGGUUUAUGGUUGAAAUGAUUCGUCGCCAUAGGAUGGGACUGCGGCCUAUCAGCUUGUUGGUGAGGUAAUGGCCCACCAAGGCGAUUACAGGUACGGGCUCUGAGAGGAGAAGCCCGGAGAUGGGUACUGAGACAAGGACCCAGGCCCUAUGGGGCGCAGCAGGCGAGAAAACUUUGCAAUGUGCGAAAGCACGACAAGGUUAAUCCGAGUGAUUUCUGCUAAAGAAAUCUUUUGCAAGUCAUAAAACCACUAGUGAAUAAGGGGUGGGCAAGUUCUGGUGUCAGCCGCCGCGGUAAAAUCAGCACCUCAAGUGGUCAGGAGGAUUAUUGGGCCUAAAGCAUCCGUAGCCGGCUCUGUAAGUUUUCGGUUAAAUCCAUGUGCUCAACGCAUGGGCUGCCGAAAAUACUGCAUAGCUAGGGAGUGGGAGAGGUAGACGGUACUCGGUAGGAAGGGGUAAAAUCCUUUGAUCUAUCGAUGACCACCUGUGGCGAAGGCGGUCUACCAGAACACGUUCGACGGUGAGGGAUGAAAGCUGGGGGAGCAAACCGGAUUAGAUACCCGGGUAGUCCCAGCUGUAAACGAUGCAGACUCGAUGAUGCAUUGGCAUAUAGCCAGUGCAGUGUCGCAGGGAGGCCGUUAAGUCUGCCGCCUGGGAAGUACGUACGCAAGUAUGAAACUUAAAGGAAUUGGCGGGGGAGCACCACAAGGGGUGAAGCCUGCGGUUCAAUUGGAGUCAACGCCGGG